rnacentral:lncRNA from 10 species
CAGCUAGAAUCAGCAAAGAAUACAUUGAAUUCUAAAAGUUUUGAAAUUUUUAUUGUCAAAUUCUCCUUCUCUCCCCUUACUCACCUGUGAUUUCUAAGUUCGUAAUUUUUUUAAUAAUCUAUUCAACCAUGCAUUUUUAAUCUUCCAGGGGAAAAAAGUACUCUCUUCCCACCUCUUUCUGAUUUGGUUGAUUUGUUUUGGUCAAAAAAAGAUCAAGUUGCUUUGGCUAAAGAAGGAUUUGUUAAGUGUAUGGGGUUCACCCAAAAUAAAUUAGUACAAUAAACCCUCAACCAAGUAACUUAGGACUGUGAAGUAUAAGAAAAUUGAGUCACAAGCACCUUUUUCCAUUGGAAAAAAAAUACUUUCAACCUUCUACAUUAGAAGUAUACAUUGGACACAGUAUUAGGAUGAAAAAGUUUUGGUGAAAAUAUGAUUUUAUUGUAAACAAAUCUAGGUGCUGUGAUGAAUUGUUUAAACCCUGAGGCUUAUUUACCCCCCUGGGGCUAAAAGUACAGGCACAGGUAAUUUAACAGUAACAUUUAGAGAGUCAUCUGCUGACUAAAUAGGCUUCUCAAUGUGGAAAGAUUUCUCUUCAUUUUUUUCUACUGGUACAUGUUGGCUCAUUCGAGAGAACCUGAAUGAUCAAAUAAAUUCUGGGGGUUUUCUCCUUAUCUUGAAUUUUAUGAUUUCAUAUUCUAAAUAACUGGGACUUUCUCUUGAAGUGGGGAAAAAAUAUUUUCUAUUGUCUUCAGCUGUUUUCUGAAAUAUUGCCUCGUGAAUUAACACACUUUUGUAUUAACUUUCCAAUGUAGGUCCCUAAAAGUUUAACACUAUCAAGUUUGGUAAGAGAUUCUUUUGUCUUUCAGGUAUUGAGUUUGAGCAAAUGGAAUGGAAUGUGCUGGAACUGGUCCUUGCAGCAUCCUCCUGACACCUUGGGUCUAUUUGCAUAGUGCAGGUGGCUGAGAUGUCACUAGGCUCUUGAGAGACUUCAGGAACAAGUUGAGGGUUCUGCCUGUCAUCUGAGUUUAUGUACCAUGUACAAGACAACCUCACACUGUUUCUAACAUGAAAUGUUAAAAAUUGUUAUAUCUUUUUCAAAAGGGAGAACCCUUUCUGAUUAGUAAGAAGAAUCGGCCAGGCGCAGUGGCUCACACCUGUAAUCCCAGCACUUUGGGAGGCCGAGGUGGGUGGAUCACUUGAGGUCAGGAGUCCAAGACCAGCCUGGCUAACAUGAUGAAACCCCGUCUCUACUAAAAAUACAAAAAUUAACCGGGAGUGGUGGCAGGUGCCUGUAAUCCCAGCCACUAGGGAAGAUGAGGCACACGAAUCUCUUGAAUCCCGGAGUUGGAGAUUGUAGUGAGCCAAGAUCGCGCCACUGCAGUCCAGCCUGGGUCACAGAGUGAGACUCUCUCAAAAAAUAAAAAUAAAUUUAAAAAAAUAAAAAGAAUCUUAAUUUUUAAAGUUAGUUGAAAAUGUGAAUCCUUUUUAGGUUAAAAUGGGCCUUGCUCUUUUGUUUACUCAGGGCAAAGUGGAAAGGAGGAGACAAUCACUGGUAGGUCUCUGGUAUGCGUGUUCUAGAGUGGGUACAAAUGACCAUUUGAUGAGUUGUUUCUAGGAACUUUAUACAUACCAUGAGAACUGAUGAAAAAUCUCAUUAAUUCCUUAGGAACAUUACCUCCCUUAAUGAAAGGAAAACAGCCUAUUGGCUCUCUAAUAGUAAUCAAGUGAAGUGUGGAUAAUUCUAGACUUUUAUUUUUAAUCACCACUUAUAGGAAGCUGUACUUUUUACCACUAGGGUGUAACCAGAAACUAUUACAAGCAAUUUAAUUGCAAUGUGGAUCCCCCUUUUCUGUAAAGAUUUCAUUCUAACUUGGGAUUACCUUCUUGAUCAAGGAGGCUUUAUCAGAUAAUCCUGACAUCUCAGUUACAGAGCAAGCAAAACUUUGCCUCCAUGCUCUUAGGUCCUCUGGUUGGGCCUGAGAAUUAAAUUGGCAUAAAAUAUAUUAACAGGAGAAAAAUACACAGACUUUUUACAUGUACAUGGGAGCUGCCAUAGGAAAAUAAAGACCCUAAGAAGUGGUAAAAACCCAAAUGCUUAUAUAGCAGAUUGAAUAAAGAGUGACAAUUGUGGAAAAGUAACUAAAAUGUGUGGGGAGGCUCAAGGAAGAUAAGAGUUAUUUUAACAAGGUCUGUUUGUACAGGUUUUUUUUUAGUCUCAACUCCUCAUCUCCGGUGACAAGAAUGUUUCUUCUCUUCUGGUACAGGGAGCGCAUCUUUCACAUGGGAGUUUUUGUCUCCUGUUUGCAGGAAGAAAAGAGGAGAUUGGAAUGCCCUUCUUGCAUUUGCUGUUUUUCAAGGGCCUUUAGCUCAAAAUAAUCUUUACACCAAACUAGCAUAUUUUGGGGUGACAUAUUCUGCCACCCUUCACAGUCUGUGAUGGUUAAUUUUAUGUGUCAGCUUCUCUAGGGUAAGGGAAGUCCAUAUAACUGGUAAAACAUUAUUUCUGGGUGUGUCUUUGAGGAUGUUGCUGGAAAAGAUUAGCAUUUGAGUCAGUGGACUAAGUAAGAAAAUCACUAACAUGGGCAGGCAUCGUCCUAUCCAUUGAGGGUCAGAAUAGAACAAAAAGGCAGAGAAAGAAUGAAUUCUCUUUUUUUGAGCUGGGGCAUCUAUCUUCUCCUGACUUCAGGUAUCAGAGUUUCUGGUUCUCAGGUCUUUGGACUUGGCCUGAAUUUCACUGCCUGCUUUCCUGUUUCUCCAGUUUGCAGAAGGCAGAUCAUGAGACUGCUAACCCUCUAUUAGCACAUUAGUCCAUUCCCAUAAUUGAUGGGGGGUGUGUGUGUGUGUGUGUGUGUGUGUGUGUGUGUGUGUGUGUUGGGAGCUAUCUCCUCUUUUGUUUUUUUUUUUCUCUGAAGAACACUAACAUACAGCUUCUUAUACAAAUAAACUGAUGUUUAAAAACUUCUAUGUUCAUUUAAAUGAUUUUAAAUUAUGUAUUAAACCUCUAUGUUCAAUAAAUAAACUACCACGCUUAAAUUUUUACUCAAUUUGAAUUGUCUCCUUCUUUUUUUGUGAGAAAUUUCCCCAAUGUGAGUAGAAGCACUCAAGUUUGUCUACUGAUCUUAAAGCUAGGUUCAUAUAUGGAAUCAUUUUUUUUAAAUAACAAUUAAUAAC